GGGGAAUAUUGGACAAUGGGCGAAAGCCUGAUCCAGCAAUGCCGCGUGAGUGAUGAAGGCCUUAGGGUUGUAAAGCUCUUUUGCCAGGGAUGAUAAUGACAGUACCUGGAGAAUAAGCUCCGGCUAACUCCGUGCCAGCAGCCGCGGUAAUACGGAGGGGGCGAGCGUUGUCCGAAGUUACUGGGCGUAAAGCGCGCGUAGGCGGGGAGGAAAGUCCGCUGUGAAAGCCCGAGGCUCAACCUCGGCGGGUCGGUGGAUACUUCCUCUCUUGAAGGUGCUAGGGGGAGAUGGAAUUACCGGUGUAGCGGUGAAAUGCGUAGAUAUCGGUAGGAACACCAGUGGCGAAGGCGGUCUCCUGGGGCAUUCUUGACGCUGAUGCGCGAAAGCUGGGGGAGCGAA
rnacentral:rRNA from 1 species